rnacentral:rRNA from 1 species
GACGUAGGGAGCGAGCGUUGUCCGGAUUCAUUGGGCGUAAAGAGCGCGUAGGCGGUUUGGUAAGUCGGAUGUGAAAAUCCGUGGGCUCAACCCCGGACCUGCAUCCGAAACUGCCCGACUAGAGGUAGGUAGGGGAGAUCGGAAUUCCUGGUGUAGCGGUGAAAUGCGCAGAUAUCAGGAGGAACACCGGUGGCGAAGGCGGAUCUCUGGGCCUUACCUGACGCUGAGGCGCGAAAGCUAGGGGAGCGAACAGG